AUGGGUAUCCCGGGGUCACGAAGGAGACCUCAGGCUAGCCGGGGGCCGCAAACUACCCGGGUGACUGAUCCUUAUUGCGCUGAACUGUUAGCUGUCAGGGAGGCUGUGCGUCUGGCUAUGGAGAAGGGCUGGACGUGGGUGACCGUCGAGACGGACUGCAAAACUGUUGUACAGGAGUAUAUGGCAACGGAGUGCAGAUCGACUGGAAGCCCGAUUGUCAGCGAGAUUAGAUCAUAUCUCCAAAACUUUCAGGGUUUCAGACUUAAUUAUGUUAGUAGAGAGGCCAAUAAUGUAGCUCACUGGUGCGCCAGAGAGAGCCUAGCUAGCACAUCAUCUGUACUUUCCUUUGAUGUUUCCUAA
rnacentral:rRNA from 1 species